rnacentral:rRNA from 1 species
CCUACGGGAGGCUGCAGUGGGGAAUAUUGCACAAUGGGGGGAACCCUGAUGCAGCCAUGCCGCGUGUGUGAAGAAGGCCUUCGGGUUGUAAAGCACUUUCAGUGGUGAGGCGUUAGCCACAGAAGAAGCACCGGCUAACUCCGUGCCAGCAGCCGCGGUAAUACGGAGGGUGCGAGCGUUAAUCGGAAUUACUGGGCGUAAAGCGCAUGUAGGUGGUUAAUUAAGUCAGAUGUGAAAGCCCCAGGCUCAACCUGGGAUGGUCAUUUGAAACUGGUUGACUAGAGUACUGUAGAGGGGGGUAGAAUUUCAGGUGUAGCGGUGAAAUGCGUAGAGAUCUGAAGGAAUACCAGUGGCGAAGGCGGCCCUCUGGACAGAACUGACACUGAGAUGCGAAAGCGUGGGUAGCAAACAGGAUUAGAUACCCUUGUAGUC